rnacentral:lncRNA from 1 species
UAACGUGGAGAUAUGAAGAAAAGCUCUUCCAAAGCUCCAAGCUUCAAAACUUGCUUCUUUUGCUCAAAACCUUCAUAAGUCACCAAAACUCUUAAAACUCUUGAAAGCUUUGAUGAAAAUCAUGGAAAACAUGAAAGUCAACGUAGGAGAGGCUGAAACUCACCUCUGGCUGCAAGUGGAGGAGAAAUAACCUCCUUCCACCGACCCUUGGCCCUUUUAUAGGUGGCUGGCCAGACCACCUUCUGCAGCCGAACGUGAAGCCGCAACCAUGCAAUGUUCGGCGGCCGAAAGUGACCUUCGGCGGCCGAACCUUUGCAUUUCUCCCUUGUUGCUUUUCUUUCAAAACUCAAGUCUUUUAACACUUCAAAACAUGAAAACAAGUGAAAAUACCUUGAAAAACAUAUGUAUUACCCUUCUCGAGGGUUCCGACACCCGAGAUUCCACCGGACGACAGGAAUGCCGAUGCCGGACUCGAGCCGGGUAUUAC